UACAUCCAGUGUACUACAUGACCCAUAAUGCUCUUGUUCUGAUAUCUGUCUCCUCACCAACCCAAGUGCCAGUACAUAUGAGGAGGCUGCAGCCUAUAUCUAGUGUACUACAGUACCCAUAAUGCAUUAUUAUUGUUGUUGUUGUUAUUAUUACAGGUGCCAGUACAUAGGAGGCAGCAGCAUAUAUCUAGUGUACUACACUACCCAUAAUGCAUUAUUAUUAUUACAGGUGCCAGUACAUAUGAGGAGGCAGCAGCCUAUAUCCAGUGUCAGUUUGAGGAUCUCAACAGGAGGAAGGGCACUAAAGAGAUCUACACCCACUUCACAUGCGCCACCGACACCAAGAACGUCCAGUUCGUGUUUGACGCCGUCAUCAUCAAGAUCAACCUAAUGGAGUGUAAACUCUGCUGAGGUGACAGGGAUCUUCAAGUGUCUGGUGAGCCUCAUGGGAGGGGAUGAUGACUUGGGAUGUUUGCAUUAGAUGAUCGUAGAAGAUUAUAGAAAGUAGAACCGGAGACUGAGACUGUUCGUUACCACACUGCAUGCAGCACCUGAUGAAUGCUGCAUUUUGGGAUUUGGUUCCUGUUUUUUUUUUCUCCGAGAGGAUUUUCCUCCAUGUUCAACACUCUGAUGCACACCGAGGAGCAGGACAGAACUGAACUGUGGGUAAAAUCUUCACUAGUGAAACACUCCCUGUGACGUCUAUGGGAACUGCCAAGUCCGACUACAGAGCACUUCUGUUUUUAGUUCCAGAUCAUGUAUAUGGAGUGAAGUGAUGUUUUUAUGACAUUUAGUUGGUGAUUAACCAACAAAUCCCACAGAUAAUCCUUGGCUAGUUCCCAAAUGGCAACCUAAUUCCUUAUGUAGUGCACUAUUUUUAACCAUCCCUUCGCUUCAUUCCAGUGCUCACAUCUAUAGAUUGACACACUACUGGUAUAUAUGAAACAAAAAGGACCCAAUCAUCAAGCUGAAUAUCUCUCAUCGUAAUAUUUCACGAUUCGUUAUGUUUAUUUUUUUCACCAAUCUGUUUGCAUUCGUUCACUGAGUCAUAUGCCUCAUUUCAUUUCCCAUUUUUAAAAAAAACAUGUAUUUCAUAGCUUGUUAUUUGUAUUAAGUAGUUGAAAUAGUUUAUUUUUCAUUUUGGUAUUUCUUUAGAUGAUCAGAUUGCAUUUAUUUCUAUCUAUGAGUAUGGUUAAUGGUCUGAAGUUGGUGUAUGGAUCAGGAAUUCAUGUGAUAGAUUUGACCUGCACCUACUCUUAACUCUUCACAGUUUUGAGAUUUUAAUCAGCCAUAUUUUCAUGAAUUAAAUAGUCUUGUGUAGACUUUAACAUGAGGUUUCACUUAGGCUACAAUCCUUAUUUCUGAUUCUUAAAAAAUAAAAUUAAAAAUGUAGAAAAUGGACCACUUUGUAUUGAACAAUAUUUUUAUAUUUAGGACUCUUGUUCACUACCGCACAUUAUUGUACAUGUAUUGAUGAUUGUCAAGUGAGAUUAAUAACUGUAUCACAACACUUUAUAAGACAAUAAGUAUUGAUUACCUGCAUGAAAGAGAAUUUUGGAAUCCACAGCUUGAUAUUUUAUAGCCUUUUAUAAUUAAUUCAGAUGUAUAUUUUUUAAUUCAAAGUGAUUUUUCUUAAUCCUAUGAAUUUCAGUGAAAGAAUGAACUGACCAAGGAUCAAGAUCAAGUGUGUAACAAAAUGUCUUGUUACCGAGGGGGAAGAUGCGCUCAGACCCCACUUGCAGAAUGGAGUUUUCCUUGUUCUAAUGGCAACUCUGCCUCCGAGGGCAGAAAUAAAUGUGAUUUGGUUAAGUUUAGGCAAGAAGUGAGACACUUAAGUAUGUAAUUACACGUAAUAAAAGGUUAUGGGUUGGGUUAGGUUUAAGUAAGAAAUAUGAUUGGUUCGGAACCAAAAAAAACUCCACUGAGCGUUAAUUCUGUCCAGAAAACGGUUGCCAAAUAGCCACUACCUACUGUAUCUGGGAUAGACUGUCACCACUUCCCCAAACAAUACUAUACAUUCCAGGGUCAUAUUCACCAUUAGGCCCCCAAACAGAAGAAAAUACACUGAAACAGGGAGGGAAUACCUGGAAGUCCAAUAAGACUUUAAUAAGAACUUCUUUGCUCCAUUUUGAAACGGUGUGCACUAAUGAAUACGACCCUGGAGACUGAUCAGAUGUGGUAACUACAUUAUGUUUCUGGUUCAGUUUGACUUUGUACAGAUGAUGUUGUUGAUCUUAACACCAUUAAAUGAUGGCACUAAA